GUCAAAAGCUUUGUGACGUCACAUGUUAGAAUUUAAAAUACUAAAACACGAAAUUUAUAUAUAAUUAUUAUUUAAUAAAAAUAAGAAAAA